CCAACAGGGAUUGCCUCAGUAACGGCGAGUGAAGCGGCAACAGCUCAAAUUUGAAAUCUGGCCGCAAGGUCCGAGUUGUAAUUUGUAGAGGAUGCUUUUGGCGAGGUGACUUCCGAGUUCCCUGGAACGGGACGCCAUAGAGGGUGAGAGCCCCGUACGGUCGUGCCACCGAGCCUCUGUAAAGCUCCUUCGACGAGUCGAGUAGUUUGGGAAUGCUGCUCUAAAUGGGAGGUGUACGUCUUCUAAAGCUAAAUACCGGCCAGAGACCGAUAGCGCACAAGUAGAGUGAUCGAAAGAUGAAAAGCACUUUGAAAAGAGGGUUAAAAAGUACGUGAAAUUGUUGAAAGGGAAGCAUUCAUGACCAGACUUGGGCUUGGUUGAACAUCCGGCGUUCUCGCCGGUGCACUCUGCCAGCUCAGGCCAGCAUCAGUUUGCCCCGGGGGACAAAGGCGGCGGGAAUGUGGCUCCCUACGGGGAGUGUUAUAGCCCGUCGUGUAAUGCCCUGGGGUGGACUGAGGUUCGCGCUUCGGCACGGAUGCUGGCGUAAUGGUC
rnacentral:sRNA from 1 species